GAGCGAUUGGUCAAGUGGUAUGACGACAACCUCUCGAGGGCGCGGCUUGUUAUACCCGGCAUGGACAGUGCUUCGUCACGGUCAAUGCUGAGUUGUAUUGAUUGCUCGUCCGAAGGUUGUAGGUCCUCGGUUCAAUCCCGAGAUCGCUCA